rnacentral:rRNA from 1 species
CCUACGGGUCGCAGCAGUGAGGAAUAUUGGUCAAUGGGCGUAAGCCUUAACCAGCCAAGUCGCGUGAGGGAUGAAGGUUCUAUGGAUCGUAAACCUCUUUUAUAAGGGAAUAAAGUGUGGGACGUGUCCUAUUUUGUAUGUACCUUAUGAAUAAGGAUCGGCUAACUCCGUGCCAGCAGCCGCGGUAAUACGGAGGAUCCGAGCGUUAUCCGGAUUUAUUGGGUUUAAAGGGUGCGUAGGCGGCCUUUUAAGUCAGCGGUGAAAGUCUGUGGCUCAACCAUAGAAUGGCCGUUGAAACUGGGGGUCUUGAGUAUGUUUGAGGCAGGCGGAAUGCGUGGUGUAGCGGUGAAAUGCUUAGAUAUCACACAGAACCCCGAUUGCGAAGGCAGCCUGCCAAGCCAUGACUGACGCUGAUGCACGAAAGCUUGGGGAUCAAACAGGAUUAGAUACCCCUGUAGUC